rnacentral:rRNA from 1 species
CCCAGACUCCUACGGGAGGCAGCAGUGAGGAAUAUUGGUCAAUGGCCGAGAGGCUGAACCAGCCAAGUCGCGUGAGGGAAGACGGCCCUACGGGUUGUAAACCUCUUUUGUCGGGGAGCAAAGCGAACCACGUGUGGUUCAUUGAGAGUACCCGAAGAAAAAGCAUCGGCUAACUCCGUGCCAGCAGCCGCGGUAAUACGGAGGAUGCGAGCGUUAUCCGGAUUUAUUGGGUUUAAAGGGUGCGUAGGCGGAACAUUAAGUCAGCGGUAAAAUCGAGGGGCUCAACCCCUUUAAGCCGUUGAAACUGGUGAUCUUGAGUGGGCGAGAAGUAUGCGGAAUGCGUGGUGUAGCGGUGAAAUGCAUAGAUAUCACGCAGAACUCCGAUUGCGAAGGCAGCAUACCGGCGCCCGACUGACGCUGAGGCACGAAAGCGUGGGGAUCGAACAGGAUUAGAUACCCUCGUA